rnacentral:rRNA from 1 species
UCCGCAGGCGGUCACACAAGUGAAAGGUGAAAUCUUUCGGCUCAACCGAAAAACUGCCUUUCAAACUGUGCGACUUGAGGAUGGAAGAGGAGAGUGGAACUGUCGGUGUAAAGGUGAAAUUUGUGGAUAUCGAUAGGAACGCCCGUGGGGAAGCCGGCUCUCUGGUCCAAUCCUGACGCUCAGGGACGAAAGCUAGGGGAGCGAACA